rnacentral:rRNA from 1 species
UUUGUGAUUUAUUUAGUUCUGGUUAUGGAAGAGGUUUUGGGUGUCGGUCACAUAAAAAGUUUGUAGAAUCGUUACAUAUAUGGAUGGGAUUAUAUGGUAUUAGUGACGAAUUCUUGUAUUUAAGGUAACUUAGAACAGGGUGCCCUUAUGUAAGGAAUGGUGAACUCUCAGUGCCAGCUUCCGCGGUUAUUCUGUGGUUUCUCUCUUCUUGUCAGUUGAAAUUUUUUAAAAGUAAGUAGUGAAGAUUAGGGUAGAAUUUUCUUUGUUUAGUAUAAAGCUUUUAAUUUAAUAUGUAGAUUUCUUUUCUAAAAAAGGAUUAGAUACCCUUGUAUAAGAAGGGGUAGAAUUUUGAUGUCUGUAGUGUGAACUAAAAGAAAUUGGCAGCCGACGAGGUUCGUCCGGGGGAGCGUGUUCUUUAAAAAGACGGUCCGCUUAGUAGUUUACCUCUUUUAUAGGUUAGUGUAUAUCCGGUUUAAGAUCUGUAAUUUAUGUUGCGGGUGAAAGAUAUUUAUGCAUUUAAUCCAGGUCUUUGUGCUGCUGAUAGGGAGGGUGUUUAAUGCGCUACAUUGUGAAAAGGCCGUAAAAUAAUUAAGGGUGUAUUUAGGACUCGGUAGUAGGGAGAGUUUAGUUUGCUUUCUCGAAAAGGAUUUAGUUGGGGUACACACCGCCCGUCACUCAGGGUGUUAGCUCUGAUAAGUCGUAACAUGGUAAUGUCGGGGGAACCGGACGUUAGUAAGUUCAUUUGUGUAUUGGAUGGAUUU